rnacentral:rRNA from 1 species
GCAGCNACGCCGCGUGUGGGAGGACGCCCCUAGGGGUGUAAACCACUGUUGCCCGGGACGAAUCCUGGAUUAGUUCCAGGUUGACGGUACCGGGUGAGGAAGCACCGGCUAACUCCGUGCCAGCAGCCGCGGUAAUACGUAGGGGGCAAGCGUUGUCCGGAAUCACUGGGCGUAAAGCGCGCGCAGGCGGCUGUCUACGUCCGGGGUGAAAGCCCANAGCUCAACUCUGGGACUGCCUUGGAUACGGGAUGGCUUGAGGAUCGGAGAGGCAAGGGGAAUUCCACGUGUAGCGGUGAAAUGCGUAGAGAUGUGGAGGAACACCUGUGGCGAAGGCGCCUUGCUGGCCGAUUUCUGACGCUGAGGCGCGAAAGCGUGGGGAGCAAACAGGAUUAGAUACCCUGGUAGUCCACGCCGUAAACGAUGAGUGCUAGGUGUUGGGGGGUACCACCCUCAGUGCCGAAGCUAACGCAUUAAGCACUCCGCCUGGGGAGUACGGUCGCAAGACUG